CAUAAUCACUUGUCUUUUAAUUGAAGUCUGGUAUGAAUGGUUGGAUGAAAAAUUUACUUUCUUUAUUUUAAAGAUAAAAUUUAACUUUUUAGUCAAAAGGCUAAAAUUCCUUUAUAGGACGAGAAGACCCUAUAGAGCUUUACUUCCCUUUCUUUUUUAUUUACUUGUAAAUAAUUUUUUAUUAAAGAAAGGGAAGUUUUAUUGGGGUGAUAAAAAAAAUUUUUUAACUUUUUUUCUUUUUUUCAUUUAUUUAUGAUGUUUUUGAUCCUUUACUAUGGAUAGUAAGAUUGAGCUACCUUAGGGAUAACAGCGUUAUUAUUUUAGAGAGUCCAUAUCGAUAAAAUAGUUUGCGACCUCGAUGUUGGAUUAAAUUUAGUAUUAGGGGCAGAACUUUAAUUACUAGGUCUGUUCGACCUUUAAAUUUUUACAUGAUCUGAG
rnacentral:rRNA from 1 species